rnacentral:rRNA from 1 species
AUGGCAAAGUAUUGGUGGUCAAGCUUGAUAGGUAAAAGGGCUCUCCACUGACUGUCUUGGGACAAACUAGCGUCACCAAAAAUCAAGGGUGGGAUGGGGUUCAAAGACCUCCCACUAUUCAAUCUGGCUAUGCUUGGCAAGCAUGGGUGGCACCUCCUGACCCACCCGAAUUCCCUUUGUGCUCGUGUGCUGAAGGGGAAGUUCUACCCUGAUAUGGAUUUUCUCCAUGCAACUAUCCCGGCGAGGGCAUCGGCGACGUGGAAAGCCAUUGUGGCGGGCAGAGAAGCAUUGGAGCAGGGACUGAUCCAUAGGAUAGGCGACGACACAAGCACUUCAACUUGGACCGAUCCUUGGAUCCCC